AUGCUUGGCAUGCAUCAGGUCAAACUUGUGGUCCAGGCGAGCCCAGGUCUCAGCGAUGGCUGUGGUGUUGCUCAGCAUGCUCACAGCUUGCUUUAUUUUGUCCAGGUCUCCACCAGGUACCACAGUGGGAGGCUGGUAAUUAAUGCCAACCUUGAAGCCAGUGGAGCACCAAUCCACAAACUGGAUGCUAUGCUUGGUCUUGAUGGUGUCAGUGGCAGCAUUAACAUCUUUGGGAACAACAUCACCACAGUAGCACAGGAGGAGCAAGCCAUGUAUUUACCAUGGCGGGGGUUGCAUUUCACCAUCUGGCUCAAAGCAAGCAUUGGUGAUCUCUGCUACAGAAAGCUGUUCAUGGUAGGCUUUCUCAGCAGAGAUGACAGCAGAGAUGACAGAUGUGGCCAGAGGGAAGUGGAUGCGGGGAUAGGGCACCAGGUUGGUCUGGAACUCUGUCUGAUCCACACUUGGGGCUCCAUCAAACCUCAGGGAAGCAGUGAUGGAGGACACUAUCUGGCUAAGAGGGAGCUUAAGAUUCAUGUAGGUUGUAUCAAGAUUUCUAUGACAGAUGUCAUGGAUGGCCUCAUUGUCUCCCAUGAAGGCACAAUCAGAGUGCUCCAGGAUGGUGUGGGUGGUGAGGAUGGAGUUGCAGGGCUCACGUGCAGCUGUGGAAACCUGGGGGGCUGGGUAAAUGGAGAACUCCAGCUUGGACUUCUUGCCAUAAUUGACAGAGAGACGUUCCAUCAGCAGGGAGGUGAACCCAAAACCAGUUCCUCCACCAAAGCUGUGGAAAACCAAGAAGCCCUGAAGACCUGUGCACUGGUCAGCCAGUUUCCGAAUUCGGUCCAAGACAAGGUCAAUGAUUUCCCUGCCAGUGGUGUAGUAACCUCGGGCAUAGCUAUUGGCAGCAUCUUCUUUGCGUGUGAUGAGCUGCUCAGGGUGGAAGACCUGGUGGUAGGUGCCAGUGCGAACCUCAUCAAUGACUUGGUUCCAAGUCUACAAACACUGCCCUGGGCACAUGCUUGCCAGCACCUGUCUUGCUGA
rnacentral:lncRNA from 2 species